UACGUAGGGGGGCUAGCGUUGUCCGGAAUCAUUGGGCGUAAAGCGCGUGUAGGCGGUCCGGUAAGUCUGCUGUGAAAGUCGGGGGGCUCAACCCUCGGAAGCCGGUGGAUACUGCUGGGCUAGAGUGCGGAAGAGGCGAGUGGAAUUCCUGGUGUAGCGGUGAAAUGCGCAGAUAUCAGGAGGAACACCAAUUGCGAAGGCAGCUCGCUGGGACGUGACUGACGCUGAGACGCGAAAGCGUGGGGGAGCAAACAGG
rnacentral:rRNA from 1 species